AAAAACAACUUAAACUCAAAUAUAAGUUAAAUCGUAGUGAUUAGUUGCGUUCAAAGUUCAAAAGCGCUCUCAUGACAUCGGCAUAUCACUUCACAUUGUUUUAAGAUACUUCAUUUUUUUUGUUUUUGUUUUAAAUGUAUUAAUAUGUUUUUGUUAUAAUUUAGAAGUGCUGACACAGAUGAUAUCGGUCUUCCUGUGAGGGCUUAUGGGUAUUUUGUUUAAAGUUUCGAAGUUUAAGUGUGACAAAGUUCAAGGUAAAAUUGGUUACGCAGUAAAGUUUCUAUCUCUUGAUAUUUUACAAUUGAAAAAGCAAAAUAUUAAACAAAGGUUAAGGUUACAAGAUCGUUUAAGAUACUUUGAGAAUGGCAAAAUUGGAUACUAGAAAAAGUGGACCUUUAACACAACUGAGUUAAGUAACUCCAGAAAAUGGCAACCAACAGGGAUUUCAAGUAGUUCAUUUUCGGAUAAAUCAUCCGCAACAGAUGUAAUAUGGACAAAGAAGUAAAAAUAGCUCAGGAGUGUCCUUUUUCAUAUCGAAAAUUACUCUUAUCGAAAGGUAUACAGAGUGCUAUAGUGCUACGGAAGGAUCACUCCGAGCCGUUCGAUACCAAACGAGGUUUCGGACAGGGUGACUCACUAUCGUGUGACGUCUUUAACCUGAUGCUGGAGAAAAUAAUACGAACUGCAAAGCUAAAUAGAAAAGAUACAAGAUUAGUUCUGCUAUUUUCAGAAUCGAUAAGGAAGCGAAGCUUAUGGAUCUGGUAGUGAACGAAGACGAUACGAAAUAUCUUCUGUCAUCAAACAAACAAUCAGCACAUUCGCGUCUUGGCUCCCACGACACUGAUGAUAGUCAAUACCGCAGACGAUCAGCGGAUCAGUCUUCACUUGAUAUUACCAAUUGUCGCCAAAUCGCUAAAAGAAGGAAUGAAUGGCGUGCUGUUGUAAACUCAAAGAAAAAAAAUAGCUGCUGCACGCAGUAAAUAGUAAGGAUCAGGAUAACCAAUUGAUCUCUCAUAUACAUCUACAAAUAUGGUAAGAAACCCCUAAAUCAUAGAAGCACAAUCUAUGCAACUCUCCGGAACGACCGAGACACAAUUCGGAAAUCACAUACCAGGGUGUUUCUACUUUUCAUUUCCAAAGCAUAUAGAAUCCGGAGACCUCAAGUUCAUAGUCUUUGUAAAUACUUAAUGAUGGUAUCAAAUGACUUGUCUAACCAGAUAGUUUAGCGCAGAUCGAAGAAAAUUGCGAUGAUUAGAGAUUCUUCCAUAGAAACUGAAAGGACUCGGAUAUUAAAUCUCAGAAAGAUUUCAAGGGUUCAGAUCAAUAGUUAUAUGUAACGACAGUAAAAAAUAACAACAUAUUGAAAUCAACUAACUGGUAGAGAACUUAACUAAUGUUAUAUGAUAGCGACUUGUCAAAAUGUGAUACUUCAUUAAUUUACUUUAUUCUUUAACUCGAUAAGAAAUUUAUAAAUAAAUAUAAUACACUGAAAUAUUAAUUUACUCGUAAAUUAGCUUAGUGACAGUGAGACGCAAUAAAACAUACAUUAAUUUUAAUGAAAAAAUCACUUUGAAACGAACAAUUCUGUGUAAAGUGUUUCGAGAUGUACUUCAACUUAUGAAAUUUGGCGUGCAAUUAUCACAACAAUAAAAACAUAUUAGCAUUUCGUAGGCAUCGCUCGCAAAAUUGCCACCAUCCGGUAAGCGCUGCAACAACAGUUGACACCUAAAGCCGGGGGCAAGGUGCAAAAUUACACAAAAUCGUAAACUAAAUGGAAAAAUCAGUUAAACGAAUACUAAAACUACAACAAAAUUAUUGAAAUGGACUAUGAACGUCAAC